CAAUAGCGUAUAUUAAAGUUGUUGCGGUUAAAAAGCUCGUAGUUGGAUUUCUGUUGGGAACGACCGGUCCGCCCAUUGGGUGUGUAUCUGGCUUGUUCUCGGCAUCUUCUUGGUGAACGUUGCUGCACUUGACUGUGUGGAGCGCUACCCAGGACUUUUACUUUGAGGAAAUUAGAGUGUUUCAAGCAGGCAUAUGCCUUGAAUACAUUAGCAUGGAAUAAUAAGAUAGGACCUCGGUUCUAUUUUGUUGGUUUCUAGAGCUGAGGUAAUGAUUAAUAGGGAUAGUUGGGGGCAUUCGUAUUUAACUGUCAGAGGUGAAAUUCUUGGAUUUGUUAAAGACGGACUACUGCAAAAGCAUUUGCCAAGGAUGUUUUCAUUGA
rnacentral:rRNA from 1 species